rnacentral:sRNA from 1 species
AGCUGCCCGCCUGCCCGGGAGAGCCAGGCGCUAGCCAGCCGCUCUGCGCCCCGCGCCCUGCUUGCCCCCAUUAUCCAGCCUUGCCCAGCCUUGCCCUGACCUGACGCCCUGGCCUGACGCCCUGCUUCGUCGCCUCCUUUCUCUCCCAGGUGCUGGACCAGGGACUGAGCGUCCCCCGGAGAGGAUCCGGUGUGACCCCGACAAGAAGCAGAAAUGGGGAAGAAACUGGAUCUUUCCAAGCUCACUGAUGAAGAGGCCCAGCAUGUCUUGGAAGUUGUUCAACGAGAUUUUGACCUCCGAAGGAAAGAAGAGGAACGACUAGAUAGAGACAGGGUUUAACCAUGUUGGCCAAGCUAGUCUCAAACUCCUGACCUCAAGUGAUCUGCCUGCCUCAGCCUCCCAAAGUGCUGGAAUUACAGGCAUGAGCCACUGCGCCCAGCCAGUUGGUAGUUUCUUAAAGGGGGUUGAAGGGCAAGAUUAAGAAGGAAAGCUCCAAGAAGGAGCUGCUUUCUGACACUGCCCAUCUGAACGAGACCCACUGCGCCCACUGCCUGCAGCCCUACCGGCUGCUUGUGAAUAGCAAAAGGCAGUGCCUGGA